rnacentral:misc_RNA from 1 species
UUUAUAUGAGUGAAGAGUUAAGUUAACCUUAUACACUGUCAUGGUUGAUGGAUAUCAGCACAAUAGUAUUAGACUCUGUGAAUAAUGCAUCGCAUUAUAGCUUUGCCUGGAUGGUCUUCUUAUCAGUUAUCAAAUUUCGAGGUCACUUUAUACAGUUUCAUGAUUGUUGAAGAUCAGCUCACGAUAAUAGAUGGAGUGAGUAAUGUGAACAUAUUUUUCUGUUAACAUUUACCUGGAUGGAUAACUUGUAUAGUGGCUUAAAGAGUUAAGCCACUUUAUACAGUGUCAUGAUCCUAAAAGUCAGCCAAGAGAAUUAAACUAGGUGAGCACUGAGCAAUGGCUAGCAUUAUAUGGUUAUGGAUUGAUAUCUCAACAGUUACCAAAUUAUGAGGUCAUUUUUCACUGUGUCAUGCUUGCGCAAAAUCAGCUCUGGAUAAUUGAUCAG